rnacentral:rRNA from 1 species
UACGUAGGGUGCGAGCGUUGUCCGGAAUUAUUGGGCGUAAAGGGCGCGUAGGCGGCCUUCUAAGUCGAACGUGAAAUCCCCGGGCUCAACCCGGGAACUGCGUCCGAUACUGGGAGGCUUGAAUCCGGGGAGAGGGAUGCGGAAUUCCAGGUGUAGCGGUGAAAUGCGUAGAUAUUGGGGAGGAACACCAGUGGCGAAGGCGGCUCACUGGACCGGAACUGACGCUGAGGCGCGAAAGCGUGGGGAGCAAACAGG